UCCUAGCUAGGUUGGUUCAUCUCUGUUCUGCAUAGUUUCAUCCUCUAGUGGGCUAGCCUGGGCUUCUUCACGCAGCAGUGGUGGCAUUUCUGGGGGGACAAGAACAGAAGGUGCAAGGCCUCCUGUGGCCUAGGCUUGGAGACUGUGCAACAUCACCCUCCCCAACAUUUUAUUAGUCAAAGGCAGUCCCAAGGCUGCCCAGGUGGAAGGGGUAGGGCAAUAGGUUUCACCCCUUGAUGGGACAAGCUGCAAGGGACAAAUAGCUUUGUGCUGUUUUUAAUCGCCCACAUCAAGAAAUCCAUCUAACUUUAUCCUUUCUUGUACCGAUGCCUAGUUUUUUGUCUGUAUCCGUUGGUGAUGCCAGUCCAACAGGAUGGGAGUGAAAGCCUUUUCCAAAAAUGAUUCCAGCUGUGAUGGGCAGCUGUAGUCUCAUUACAGUCUUUGUGGUUGUUGAUAAGGUCAGGCACAUCAGACCUUUUCGGAAACUCUGUCGCCAGUAUCUUGUAGGAAGAGGAGGCAGAAUGGUCCCAAUUUGCUACCCAUGACAGAUUGCCAGGGAAAUAAAUGGUUGCUUUUUUAUACUCAAGUGCCUUUUUCACAGAACCCUUGCUGAUAAACUAGUGUUAGCUGAAGACCAGUUAGCAUGCUGACAUUUCUCUAAGAGUUGUUAUCUCUAGGCACCUGUGGAUAAAUGUGCUAAUGAGAGACUUUUCUUAAGGGCUCUUAGAUCCAUGAUUAUUCCAAGCCAUGGUUGAAUGCAAACAUCAUCAGAACAGCGUGUUAUGCUUAAUAGCUGAGAAUGCCUCUGUAAUACUUAAUCCCCUUUAUGCUCGUGACAGAUCAGCCUCUGAAAUAGGAGCACGGCCCCAGGGGAAACGCAGCUUACUCAUCAAGCCUCAGGUUUAAAUCCUCUCAACUGAGCAGUUCUUCCUUCAAAGAGAAUGCUGCAAGAGUCCACGAUGGACAUGAGGUGAGCAUGCGUCGGCUCCGACCUUCACCGGACUCGGAAUCUGGCCGGUCCUCUGGCCAUGGGCAGCCUCGCCUCUGCACUCAAGACAUUUUCUUCUUGGACACAAACACCUCGAGAGAGUUUCUGGCCCUUAGAGGGAAUCACGUCACACACACGAAGAGAUCAGUAAGAAAUGCUUUCAGCAGGCAGGCUUUUUGAGAACUAUCACUUCCUAAAAAAUGUAGCAUAGGCUGCCAAAAAGGGGUUAUUUUUAUCUGAGGAGUCCCAUGGGCUACACCCUCCUUAAAAGGAUAGGAUAAUGAAAAUACACCUUCCUUCUUCCUCUUUGAGGAUCUCUUUACCAACAGUAAAUGUUCUCAACUAGCCAUGAGGUGCCCCUUCUGCCUAGAAAUCACCUCAGCAUGUGUGGGGCGUUAACUAAACGUGGGUGGUGAUUCAUCAUGAGUAAUAGUCGAUGCUGUGGCAUCAUCGGUUGGGAGAAUAAAAAGUCCUCCUUUUAUCAGUCA